GUCAAGUCAGCAUGGCCUUUAUAUCCUGGGCUACACACACGCUACAAUGGCCAACACAAUAGGUUGCUAAGCCGCGAGGUGGAGCCAAUCCAUAAAGUUGGUCUCAGUUCAGAUUGUAGGCUGCAACCCGCCUGCAUGAAGAUGGAGUUGCUAGUAACCGCAGGUCAGCUAUACUGCGGUGAAUACGUUCCCGGGCCUU
rnacentral:rRNA from 1 species